GCAGAACGCGAAGAACCUUACCAGGUCUUGACAUCCCGCUGACCGCCCUAGAGAUAGGGCUUCCCUUCGGGGCGAGCGGUGACAGGUGGUGCAUGGUUGUCGUCAGCUCGUGUCGUGAGAUGUUGGGUUAAGUCCCGCAACGAGCGCAACCCUUAUUUCUAGUUGCCAGCAUUCAGUUGGGCACUCUAGAGAGACUGCCGUCGACAAGACGGAGGGAGGCGGGGAUGACGUCAAAUCAUCAUGCCCCUUAUGUCUUGGGCUACACACGUGCUACAAUGGGUGGUACAAAGGGCUGCAAAACCGCGAGGUUUAGCUAAUCCCAAAAAGCCACUCUCAGUUCGGAUUGCAGGCUGCAACUCGCCUGCAUGAAGUCGGAAUCGCUAGUAAUCGCAGAUCAGCAUGCUGCGGUGAAUA
rnacentral:rRNA from 1 species